GCGGAUCAGCACGCCGCGGUGAAUACGUUCCCGGGCCUUGUACACACCGCCCGUCACACCAUGAGAGUCUGUAACACCCAAAGCCGGUGGGAUAACCUUUAUAGGAGUCAGCCGUCUAAGGUAGGACAGAUGAUUAGGGUGAAGUCGUAACAAGGUAGC
rnacentral:rRNA from 1 species